rnacentral:rRNA from 1 species
CGGUAAGCCGCGAUGGCUCGGUAUAACAGCCACUGUUUAUUAAACUCUAGUUAUCUACUUGGAUAACUGUGGCAAUUCUAGAGCUAAUACAUGCACGCAGGCUCGGACCUUUUGGGAAGAGCGCAUUUAUUAGACCAAAACCAAUCGGGCUUCGGCCUGUGUUUUGGUGACUCUGAAUAACUAAGUCGAUCGCACAGUCUUAGUACUGGCGACGUAUUUUUCAAAUGUCUGCCUUAUCAACUUUCGAUGGUAGGUUAUACGCCUACCAUGGUUAUAACGGGUAACGGAGAAUUAGGGUUCGACUCCGGAGAGGGAGCCUGAGAAAUGGCUACCACAUCCAAGGAAGGCAGCAGGCGCGCAAAUUACCCAAUCCCAGAACGGGGAGGUAGUGACGAAAAAUAACGAGGUAAUCCACUUUGUGGCUUGCCAUCGGAAUGGGCACAAUAUAAAUCUUUUAACGAGGAUCUAUUAGAGGGCAAGUCUGGUGCCAGCAGCCGCGGUAAUUCCAGCUCUAAUAGUGUAUAUUACAAUUGUUGUGGUUAAAACGCCCGUAGUUGGAUCUUCGGUCUUGAAGCUCGGUAGCCCGUAAGGGUUUAACUGAGUCUUCUGGCCUCGAUUCUAGUUUUCUCCUGAUGCU